rnacentral:rRNA from 1 species
AACCAGCACCUCAAGUGGUCAGGAUGAUUAUUGGGCCUAAAGCAUCCGUAGCCUGUUCUGUAAGUUUUCGGUUAAAUCCAUAAGCUCAACUUAUGGGCUGCCGAAAAUACUGCAGAACUAGGGAGUGGGAGAGGUAGACGGUACUCGGUAGGAAGGGGUAAAAUCCUUUGAUCUAUUGAUGACCGCCUGUGGCGAAGGCGGUCUACCAGAACACGUUCGACGGUGAGGGAUGAAAGCUGGGGGAGCAAACCGG